CAAUAGCGUAUAUUUAAGUUGUUGCAGUUAAAAAGCUCGUAGUUGGAUUUCGGGUGGGACGCAGCGGUCUCGCAUUGCGUUUAUACUGCUGCAGCCCUCCUUCUUGCCGGGGGCGGCCUCUCGGACUUCACUGUCUGGGGGUCAGAAUCGGCGAUGUUACUUUGAGUAAAUUAGAGUGUUCAAAGCAAGCUUACGCUCUGAAUAUAAUAGCAUGGGAUAACACGACAGGACUCUGGCCUAUCGUGUUGGUCUAUAGGACCAGAGUAAUGAUUAAGAGGGACAGUCGGGGGCAUUCGUAUUCCGUUGUCAGAGGUGAAAUUCUUGGAUUUACGGAAGACGAACAUCUGCGAAAGCAUUUGCCAAGGAUGUUUUCAUUGA
rnacentral:rRNA from 1 species